rnacentral:rRNA from 1 species
UACGUAGGGGCCAAGCGUUGUCCGGAUUUAUUGGGCGUAAAGAGCUCGUAGGCGGUUCGGCAAGUCGAAUGUGAAAUCUCCACGCUCAACGUGGAGGGGUCAUUCGAUACUGCCGUGACUUGAGUACGGUAGGGGAGUGUGGAAUUCCCGGUGUAGCGGUGAAAUGCGCAGAUAUCAGGAGGAACACCGGUGGCGAAGGCGGCAUCCUGGACCAUUACUGACACUGAAUAGCGAAAGCCAGGGGAGCAAACGGG